CGGCGGACGGGGGAGUAACGCGUGGGUAACCGUGCCUCAUACAGGGGAGUAACAGUUGGAAACGGCUGCUAAUACCGCAUAAGCGCACAGUACCGCAUGGUACGGUGUGAAAAACUCCGGUGGUAUGAGAUGGACCCGCGUCUGAUUAGGUAGUUGGUGGGGUAACGGCCUACCAAGCCGACGAUCAGUAGCCGACCUGAGAGGGUGACCGGCCACAUUGGGACUGAGACACGGCCCAA
rnacentral:rRNA from 1 species